GAUGAACGCUGGCGGCGUGCCUAAUACAUGCAAGUCGAGCGAACGGACGAGAAGCUUGCUUCUCUGAUGUUAGCGGCGGACGGGUGAGUAACACGUGGAUAACCUACCUAUAAGACUGGGAUAACUUCGGGAAACCGGAGCUAAUACCGGAUAAUAUUUUGAACCGCAUGGUUCAAAAGUGAAAGACGGUCUUGCUGUCACUUAUAGAUGGAUCCGCGCUGCAUUAGCUAGUUGGUAAGGUAACGGCUUACCAAGGCAACGAUGCAUAGCCGACCUGAGAGGGUGAUCGGCCACACUGGAACUGAGAAAAGGUCCAGAAUCCUAAGGGAGGCAGCAGUAGGGAAUCUUCCGCAAUGGGCGAAAGCCUGACGGAGCAAAGCCGCGUGAGUGAUGAAGGUCUUCGGAUCGUAAAACUCUGUUAUUAGGGAAGAACAUAUGUGUAAGUAACUGUGCACAUCUUGACGGUACCUAAUCAGAAAGCCACGGCUAACUACGUG
rnacentral:rRNA from 1 species